rnacentral:rRNA from 1 species
AACGCGAAGAACCUUACCAGGUCUUGACAUGCACUGGACCGGCGCUGAAAGGCGCUCUUCCCGCAAGGGACCGGUGCACAGGUGCUGCAUGGCUGUCGUCAGCUCGUGUCGUGAGAUGUUGCGUUAAGUCGCGCAACGAGCGCAACCCCUGUCCUUAGUUGCCAUCAUUCAGUUGGGCACUCUAGGGAGACAAACCCUCUUUGAGGGUGGGAAGGUGGGGAUGACGUCAAGUCAGGAUGGCCCUUACGACCUGGGCUGCACACGUGCUACAAUGCCCAGUACAGAGGGAAGCAAGACCGCGAGGUGGAGCAAAUCCUCAAAACUGGGCCCAGUUCAGAUUGUAGUCUGCAACUCGACUACAUGAAGUUGGAAUCGCUAGUAAUGGCGCAUCAGCUACGGCGCCGUGAAUACGUUCCCGGGCCUUGUA